rnacentral:lncRNA from 1 species
CAGGGACCCCUUUCUUAGGCUGAAAUUAAAGACUCAAGGAAACAUUGAGAACUAGAGGCUAGAGCAGAUGGCAGGAAUGUGACCACUGGGAUAAAUUAAGGGUUUACAAAAAGAUGCUCUGGUCAGUGUAGCUCCAAGACCUUGUGGCCAAGGCCAUAAGCAUGUCAAUCUUGUCUUAGUAAACUGUACAUGUACAAGUAAGGGUGGCAGUAUGAAAGGUACCACUCUGCUGCACACAGUAACGAGCCUGAUCUGAACACACAGAGCCCUCACGAGAUGGUGGCACCAAUGGCAAGGCCAAGACUGACAGUGCCUCUGGCCAGCCUUCUGCUUCUAGUUUAGAGGAAUUUCCCAACCUCCUACUGAGGAAGAAGAGCACAUCCCAAGGACAUAUUGCAAGUAUUUUACUGCGCACUCUAGGCCUGCUCAUUGAUCCAAGAGGCAUCUAGAAUACCUG